rnacentral:rRNA from 1 species
AUGUGUUUUAUAUUUGCCACCACAACUGAGGGAAUUAAUUCAUGUAAAUCGGCCAGCCACAGCUCCAAGAAUACGCGGAGGAGGUGGCCCGGGUCAGCGUCGGCGCCGUUCGGCACGGGCCACGGGCCCGCUUCCAAGUGCGUCUGCGCGCCGGCCACCCACGCCGGGUCCUUCAAGUGCCGCUUCCACCGCACCAACUCCCAGGGCCAGGGAAGCCGCCCUUCUUCGCCCUCUUCACCGGCCGCGGCCAACGCGGUGCCGCGGCACCCGGCCUCGCCGUCCUCGUCCUCCGGCACCGUCGCAACCCAGUGA